rnacentral:rRNA from 1 species
GAUGAACGCUGGCGGCGUGCCUAACACAUGCAAGUCGAGCGAUUCUCUUCAGAGAAGAGCGGCGGACGGGUGAGUAACGCGUGGGUAACCUGCCCUGUACACACGGAUAACAUACCGAAAGGUAUGCUAAUACGAGAUAAUAUACUUUUAUCGCAUGGUAGAAGUAUCAAAGCUUUUGCGGUACAGGAUGGACCCGCGUCUGAUUAGCUAGUUGGUAAGGUAACGGCUUACCAAGGCGACGAUCAGUAGCCGACCUGAGAGGGUGAUCGGCCACAUUGGAACUGAGACACGGUCCAAACUCCUACGGGAGGCAGCAGUGGGGAAUAUUGCACAAUGGGCGAAAGCCUGAUGCAGCAACGCCGCGUGAGCGAUGAAGGCCUUCGGGUCGUAAAGCUCUGUCCUCAAGGAAGAUAAUGACGGUACUUGAGGAGGAAGCCCCGGCUAACUACGUG